rnacentral:rRNA from 1 species
UGGGGAAUAUUGGACAAUGGGGGCAACCCUGAUCCAGCCAUGCCGCGUGUGUGAAGAAGGCCUUCGGGUUGUAAAGCACUUUCAGUAGUGAAAAAGGGGUUCAGGUUAAUAGCCUGAGUCAUUGAUAUUAGCUACAGAAGCAGCACCGGCUAACUCCGUGCCAGCAGCCGCGGUAAUACGGAGGGUGCAAGCGUUAAUCGGAAUUACUGGGCGUAAAGCGCGCGUAGGCGGUUUGGUCAGUUGGAUGUGAAAGCCCAGGGCUCAACCUUGGAACUGCAUUCAAUACUGCCAGGCUAGAGUACGGUAGAGGGAGGUAGAAUUCCACGUGUAGCGGUGAAAUGCGUAGAGAUGUGGAGGAAUACCAGUGGCGAAGGCGGCCUCCUGGAUCGAUACUGACGCUAAGGUGCGAAAGCGUGGGGAGCAAACAGG